rnacentral:lncRNA from 1 species
GCCGACAACUUACUUGUUCUAGUUGCAGAGGUGGUCAUGGAGAAGGAUGUGGGCUCACCAAAUAAACCAAAUAAGAAGGCCCGUCGAAAAAGGGCAGCUAAGCCUGUGGGCGGUCGGAGCACCCGCAUUAGGAUCGAAAGUCCCCUAGCACUGCCGGCUUCUGAAUCAGGAGGUCCUGAAUAUCCCCACACUAGCGACCUUUGAAUGGUAAGAGUUGGCUCGACCUCUCCAACCUUCGAUGG